rnacentral:rRNA from 1 species
UACAGAGACGGCAAGCGUUGCUCGGAUUCAUUGGGCGUAAAGGGUCCGCAGGCGGUCGGCUAAGUCGGAUGUGAAAUCCCGCGGCUUAACCGCGGAAAGUCAUUCGAAACUAGUCGACUAGAGGACUGGAGAGGAGACCGGAAUUGUCGGUGUAGCGGUGAAAUGCGUAGAUAUCGACAAGAACACCAGUGGCGAAGGCGGGUCUCUGGCCAAUUCCUGACGCUCAGGGACGAAAGCGUGGGGAG